UGGGGGAUAUUGCACAAUGGGGGAAACCCUGAUGCAGCAACGCCGCGUGAGUGAAGAAGUAUUUCGGUAUGUAAAGCUCUAUCAGCAGGGAAGAAAAUGACAGUACCUGACUAAGAAGCCCCGGCUAACUACGUGCC
rnacentral:rRNA from 1 species